rnacentral:lncRNA from 1 species
GGAGGACAGCCCCCUCCCUCUCACAGUUCUAGAGCAUUCUACAUGAGACAUAGAAUGCUGACUCCUCCCUUGGCUUCCUGACCAUUGCAAUGUGGCCUUUGCUUUGAGGAGAAACAAGGCUCCAGGGACCUCAGAUCUCAAAUUCUUGCUAUGACAGCGAGGUCUCAUUAAUGAGGACUAAUUGUUGGAGGACGAAGCUGAGUUACUGAGAAGUCAGACCUGAAAAUCUGCCGCACUACUCUGUCAUGUUGAAACCAUCUUAGAAUUCAAUCCAGCUCGGAGAGCUCACCCAUCCAUCUUGGCAUCCAGCAGACCCCGGCUUUCAGGAAUAGCUGUGCGCAAUCUAAAAUUAUCUUACUAACUACUUGAAUGUGAAUGUAAAUGCAUGAUUUAAAAAUGCUGGAGGGGACUGAAAGAAAUGAGUUCUUCUAGGUGUUGGGAACACUAGCCCCUCAAUCUCACUUAGCUUGUUAAUUUGUUUCCCAAACAUUUGCUGGAGCUGCUGCAAGGGAGAUUUUCCGUGGGCUUGUCCUGAACUCUCUGAGGUUUAAACUCAGUUUCUACAUUCCCCGUUUCCUCUUUAUCUUUUCUCAUUUUACAUCUGUGUGCAGCACUCUGUCUCUGUAUGGUUAUUAUCGAUGGAGUGAACUCAAAACUUAAGAAAUGGUGACCAAGUAUCAAAGCUAAUAAACACCCCACACACACACACACAUUCUACCUGUCUCCUGUUUCCCUUUUGGGAGGGAGUUUGAUGUGCUCUCGUAGACGUGAUAGGGACCCAACUCUUAUGUGAACAGCGUUUCUCCGCGGUACCCAUGGCAACAAUCCCAGGAUCUGGUCUGCAUCAUUCAUCCAGACAUGGAUCAUGCCCUGCUUCCCUCUUCCUGUGCUUAUUCAAUGCCCCACCAAGGUAUGAGAGACAAGACCCUCACUCUGUAAUAAAGAAUUCAAGAGACUGGCU